GCAGCUCAGUGGUAGAGCACUUGCCUAGCAUGCAGGAGGCCCUGGGUUCCAUCCCUAGUGCG
rnacentral:tRNA from 1 species